UACAGAGGCCUCAAGCGUUAGGCGGAAUCACUGGGCUUAAAGCGUGUGUAGGCGGACUUCUAAGUACCUUGUGAAAUCCCACGGCUUAACUGUGGAACUGCUUGGUAUACUGGUCGUCUUGAGCCACUUAGGGGCUAACCGGAACAGAUGGUGGAGCGGUGAAAUGCGUAGAUAUCAUCUGGAACGCCAAUGGUGAAAACAGGUAGCUGGGAGUGUGCUGACGCUGGAGAACACGAAAGCCAGGGAGCGAACGGG
rnacentral:rRNA from 1 species